AUACAUGCAAGUCGAACGCGUCUCCGUUAAUGAUUUUAGGUGCUUGCACUUGAAAGAUUUAACAUUGAGACGAGUGGCGAACUGGUGAGUAACACGUGGGUAACCUGCCCUUGAAGUAGGGGAUAACACUUGGAAACAGGUGCUAAUACCGUAUAACAACCAAAACCACCUGGUUUUGGUUUAAAAGACGGCUUCGGCUGUCACUUUAGGAUGGACCCGCGGCGUAUUAGCUUGUUGGUAAGGUAACGGCUUACCAAGGCGAUGAUACGUAGCCGACCUGAGAGGGUAAUCGGCCACAUUGGGACUGAGACACGGCCCAAACUCCUACGGGAGGCAGCAGUAGGGAAUCUUCCACAAUGGACGAAAGUCUGAUGGAGCAACGCCGCGUGAGUGAUGAAGGGUUUCGGCUCGUAAAACUCUGUUGUUGGAGAAGAACAGGUGUCAGAGUAACUGUUGACAUCUUGACGGUAUCCAACCAGAAAGCCACGGCUAACUACGUGCCAGCAGCCGCGGUAAUACGUAGGUGGCAAGCGUUGUCCGGAUUUAUUGGGCGUAAAGCGAGCGCAGGCGGUUUUUUAGGUCUGAUGUGAAAGCCUUCGGCUUAACCGGAGAAGUGCAUCGGAAACCGGGAGACUUGAGUGCAGAAGAGGACAGUGGAACUCCAUGUGUAGCGGUGAAAUGCGUAGAUAUAUGGAAGAACACCAGUGGCGAAGGCGGCUGUCUGGUCUGUAACUGACGCUGAGGCUCGAAAGCAUGGG
rnacentral:rRNA from 1 species